UACGUAGGGUGCGAGCGUUGUCCGGAAUUACUGGGCGUAAAGAGCUCGUAGGCGGUUUGUCGCGUCUGCCGUGAAAGUCCGGGGCUCAACCCGGACUGCAGUGGGUGACGGGCAGACUAGAGUGUGGUAGGGGAGACUGGAAUUCCUGGUGUAGCGGUGGAAUGCGCAGAUAUCAGGAGGAACACCGAUGGCGGAAGGCAGGUCUCUGGGCCACUACUGACGCUGAGAAGCGAAAGCAUGGGGAGCGAACAGG
rnacentral:rRNA from 1 species